rnacentral:rRNA from 1 species
UACGUAGGCAGCAAGCGUUGUUCGGAAUUACUGGGCGUAAAGAGUGUGUAGGCGGUGCUCUAAGUUCGGUGUGAAAUCUCCCGGCUCAACUGGGAGGGUGCGCCGAAAACUGGAGUGCUGGAGCGCGGGAGAGGAAAGCGGAAUUCCUGGUGUAGCGGUGAAAUGCGUAGAUAUCAGGAGGAACACCGGCGGUGUAGACGGCUGUCUGGACCGUAGCUGACGCUGAGACACGAAAGCGUGGGUAGCAAACAGG